GACGAACGCUGGCGGCGUGCUUAACACAUGCAAGUCGAACGGAAAGGCCCUGCUUUUGUGGGGUGCUCGAGUGGCGAACGGGUGAGUAACACGUGAGUAACCUGCCCUUGACUUUGGGAUAACUUCAGGAAACUGGGGCUAAUACCGGAUAGGAGCUCCUGCUGCAGGGUGGGGGUUGGAAAGUUUCGGCGGUUGGGGAUGGACUCGCGGCUUAUCAGCUUGUUGGUGGGGUAGUGGCUUACCAAGGCUUUGACGGGUAGCCGGCCUGAGAGGGUGACCGGCCACAUUGGGACUGAGAUACGACCCAGAGUCGUACGGGAGGCAGCAGUGGGGAAUAUUGCACAAUGGGCGGAAGCCUGAUGCAGCAACGCCGCGUGCGGGAUGACGGCCUUCGGGUUGUAAACCGCUUUCGCCUGUGACGAAGCGUGAGUGACGGUAAUGGGUAAAGAAGCACCGGCUAACUACGUG
rnacentral:rRNA from 1 species